UACGGAGGGGGCUAGCGUUGUUCGGAAUUACUGGGCGUAAAGCGCACGUAGGCGGCUUUGUAAGUUAGAGGUGAAAGCCCGGGGCUCAACUCCGGAAUUGCCUUUAAGACUGCAUCGCUUGAACAUCGGAGAGGUAAGUGGAAUUCCGAGUGUAGAGGUGAAAUUCGUAGAUAUUCGGAAGAACACCAGUGGCGAAGGCGACUUACUGGACGAUUGUUGACGCUGAGGUG
rnacentral:rRNA from 1 species